rnacentral:lncRNA from 1 species
GGGCUCCCUCCUUCCCUCCUUCCCUCCUUCCCUCCUUCCCUCCGAGCGCCGGCCGGGGCGGGGUGGGAGGAGAUUUCGCGGAGUUUCCAUUUCAUACCUCGCGGCUAAAACUUUCUUUCUGUCUGCCCUCCGCAGUCUGCAGCUUCUCCUGUCAUCGGAAAUGCCAGGCCAAGCCACAGGCCACAUUCCUGAGAGGAGGAGGCUGACGCUGGACUCCCCACUCGGGCCCUCCACCCUCGGAGCGUUCAGCUGCCUCCAGGUCCAGACGCUGCUGCCCACCCUGCGGCUUCCUUCCAGCCAGUCACGAGACUCUGAUAGCCAAGGACCCCAGCACGGAUCGCGGAUGGUCCAGUUCCUAGCAAUAGUGGUAAAAACCAGAGUACUGGUCAUUUGGUAAGCAGUUGGGCACCAGGUUCCAUGCUAAGCAUCUACAUGGAUUCUGUCAAUAAAGUCUCAAAAC